rnacentral:misc_RNA from 1 species
AAGUCGUAACAAGGUAUCCGUAGGUGAACCUGCGGAUGGAUCAUUAGAAAGUGCGAGGUGCUUCGGCACCGACCACCCACUCUGUGCACUGUAACGUACCCUGCGGUCGGGGCUUCGGCCCGGGCCGCGCUGGGCAGUUCCUCACGGGACGGCCCGAACAAACACAUCAACCAACGUCUGAAGCUAAAGAAACAAUGUUAAACAACUUUUGACAACGGAUCUCUUGGCUCUC